CCUUGACAUACUAAGAAACUUUCCAGAGAUGGAUUGGUGCCUUCGGGAACUUAGAUACAGGUGCUGCAUGGCUGUCGUCAGCUCGUGUCGUGAGAUGUUGGGUUAAGUCCCGCAACGAGCGCAACCCUUUUCCUUAUUUGCCAGCGGGUCAUGCCGGGAACUUUAAGGAUACUGCCAGUGACAAACUGGAGGAAGGCGGGGACGACGUCAAGUCAUCAUGGCCCUUACGGCCAGGGCUACACACGUGCUACAAUGGUCGGUACAAAGGGUUGCUACCUCGCGAGAGGAUGCUAAUCUCAAAAAGCCGAUCGUAGUCCGGAUCGCAGUCUGCAACUCGACUGCGUGAAGUCGGAAUCGCUAGUAAUCGCGGAUCAGAAUGCCGCGGUGAAUACGUUCCCGGGCCUUGUACACACCGCCCGUCACACCAUGGGAGUUUGUUGCACCAGAAGUAGGUAGUCUAACCGCAAGGAGGACGCUUACCACGGUGUGGCCGAUGACUGGGGUGAAGUCGUAACAAGGUAAGCGUAGAUGA
rnacentral:rRNA from 1 species